rnacentral:rRNA from 1 species
GCGGUGGAUGAUGUGGUUUAAUUCGAUGCAACGCGAAAACCUUACCUACCUUUGACAUGUACGGAAUUCGCCAGAGAUGGCUUAGUGCUCGAAAGAGAACCGUAACACAGGUGCUGCAUGGCUGUCGUCAGCUCGUGUCGUGAGAUGUUGGGUUAAGUCCCGCAACGAGCGCAACCCUUGUCAUUAGUUGCUACAUUUAGUUGGGCACUCUAAUGAGACUGCCGGUGACAAACCGGAGGAAGGUGGGGAUGACGUCAAGUCCUCAUGGCCCUUAUAGGUAGGGCUACACACGUCAUACAAUGGAUGGUACAAAGGGUCGCCAACCCGCGAGGGGGAGCCAAUCCCAUAAAACCAUUCGUAGUCCGGAUCGCAGUCUGCAACUCGACUGCGUGAAGUCGGAAUCGCUAGUAAUCGUGGAUCAGAAUGUCACGGUGAAUACGUUCCCGGGUCUU